rnacentral:rRNA from 1 species
GACGAACGCUGGCGGCGUGCUUAACACAUGCAAGUCGAACGGUGAAGGAGAGCUUGCUCUCCGGAUCAGUGGCGAACGGGUGAGUAACACGUGGGCAACCUGCCCCAGACUUCGGGAUAACGCUUCGAAAGAGGUGCUAAUACCGGAUACGAACUCCUUGGGCAUCCUUGGAGUUGGAAAGUUUUUCGGUCUGGGAUGGGCCCGCGGCCUAUCAGCUUGUUGGUGAGGUAACGGCACACCAAGGCGACGACGGGUAGCCGGCCUGAGAGGGCGAACGGCCACACGGGUAGUGGGACACGGCCCAGACUCCUACGGGAGGCAUCAGUGGGGAAUAUUGCACAAUGGGCGCAAGCCUGAUGCAUCAACGCCGCGGGGGGGGCGACGGCCUUCGGGGUGUAAACCUCUUUUAGCAGGGAAGAAGCGAAAGUGACGGUACCUGCAGAAAAAGCACCGGCUAACUACGUGCCAGCCGCCGCGGUAAUAC